rnacentral:rRNA from 1 species
UCGGCCGAAUAUCCAAGGUUUCCAGGGUAAAGCUGAUCUGCCCUGGGUAAGUCGGGGCCUAAGGCGAGGCAGAAAUGCGUAGUCGAUGGACAGCAGGUUGAGAUUCCUGCACCCGUAAUGAACAGAACUGUAGUGACACGGAAGGUAAGACAGAGCCGGGAAUGAGAAAACCGGUGCAAGCACAAUAGAUGUGUGGGAGGAAAAACCCCCGCAUAAGUCGAAGGUGUGACGCGGACCGAAAAAGAGUAGGGAAGCUGUUAAGCAAGCCGUCAAGAAAAGCUGCUAUUGUUUCAUUAUGGCCCGUACCGUAAACCGACACAGGUGGAUGGGGAGAGAAUCCUAAGGCCGGCGGAAGAAGUAUUGUUAAGGAACUCGGCAAAAUGACCCCGUAACUUCGGGAGAAGGGGUGCCUGCGAGAGCAGGCCGCAGAGAAGAGGCCCAAGCAACUGUUUAGCAAAAACACAGGUCUAUGCAAAACCGAAAGGUGAGGUAUAUGGGCUGACGCCUGCCCGGUGCUGGAAGGUUAAGGGGAGUGGUCAGGAAACGAAGCCACGAACUUAAGCCCCAGUAAACGGCGGCCGUAACUAUAACGGUCCUAAGGUAGCGAAAUUCCUUGUCGGGUAAGUUCCGACCCGCACGAAAGGCGUAAUGAUUUGGGCGCUGUCUCGACAAUACAUCCGGUGAAAUUGAAGUGCCAGUGAAGAUGCUGGCUACCUGCGCCAGGACGGAAAGACCCCAUGGAGCUUUACUCCAGCUUGAUACUGGGACCCGGUAUUGCAUGUACAGGAUAGGUGGGAGGCUAGGAAAUGUGGACGCCAGUCUGCAUGGAGCCGCUGUUGGGAUACCACCCUUGUGGUGCUGGGUUUCUAACCAGAGGCCGUGAACCGGUCUGGGGACAAUGUCAGGUGGGGAGUUUGACUGGGGCGGUCGCCUCCGAAAGGGUAUCGGAGGCGCCCAAAGGUUCCCUCAGAAUGGUUGGAAACCAUUCGAAGAGUGCAAAGGCAGAAGGGAGCUUGACUGCGACACCGACGGGUGGAGCAGGUACGAAAGUAGGGCUUAGUGAUCCGGUGGAAUUUAAGUGGGAAUGCCAUCGCUCAACGGAUAAAAGCUACCCUGGGAUAACAGGCUGAUCACUCCCAAGAGUUCACAUCGACGGAGUGGUUUGGCACCUCGAUGUCGGCUCAUCGCAUCCUGGGGCUGAAGUCGGUCCCAAGGGUUGGGCUGUUCGCCCAUUAAAGCGGUACGCGAGCUGGGUUCAGAACGUCGUGAGACAGUUCGGUCCCUAUCCGGCGUGGGCGUAGGAUAUCUGAGAGGAGCUGUCCUUAGUACGAGAGGACCGGGAUGGACUGACCUCUGGUGUACCGGUUGGCGAUCAACGCCACGGCCGGGUAGCCAUGUCGGGACGGGAUAAACGCUGAAGGCAUCUAAGCGUGAAGCCCCCCUCAAGAUGAGAUAUCCCAUCGUAAGAGUAAGACCCCUUGAAGACGACGAGGUUGAUAGGGCAGGGGUGGAAGUGCCGUAAGGCAUGGAGCUGACUGCUACUAAUCGGUCGAGGGCUUGACCA